GAGUAACGCGUAUCCAACCUGCCCACCACUUGGGCUUAACCUUGCGAAAGUAAGACUAAUACCCAAUGAUAUCUCUAGAAGACAUCUGAAAGAGAUUAAAGAUUUAUCGGUGAUGGAUGGGGAUGCGUCUGAUUAGCUUGUUGGCGGGGUAACGGCCCACCAAGGCAACGAUCAGUAGGGGUUCUGAGAGGAAGGUCCCCCACAUUGGAACUGAGACACGGUCCAAACUCCUACGGGAGGCAGCAGUGAGGAAUAUUGGUCAAUGGACGAGAGUCUGAACCAGCCAAGUAGCGUGCAGGAAGACGGCCCUAUGGGUUGUAAACUGCUUUUAUAAGGGAAUAAAGUGAGAGUCGUGACUCUUUUUGCAUGUACCUUAUGAAUAAGGACCGGCUAAUUCCGUGCCAGCAGCCGCGGUAAUACGGAAGGUCCGGGCGUUAUCCGGAUUUAUUGGGUUUAAAGGGAGCGUAGGCCGGAGAUUAAGCGUGUUGUGAAAUGUAGAUGCUCAACAUCUGCACUGCAGCGCGAACUGGUUUCCUUGAGUACGCACAAAGUGGGCGGAAUUCGUGGUGUAGCGGUGAAAUGCUUAGAUAUCACGAAGAACUCCGAUUGCGAAGGCAGCUCACUGGAGCGCAACUGACGCUGAAGCUCGAAAGUGCGGGUAUCGAACAGGAUUAGAUACCCUGGUAGUCCGCACGGUAAACGAUGGAUGCCC
rnacentral:rRNA from 1 species